GUAAAAUUAAGGUUAAUUGCAUGGUAGUUGUUUGAAUUUAGUUCCGUUUGUAAGUAGAGAUAGAUAGCGGUUAUAAAGAGGGUGGACCAGUACGUGCUCUGAUUUGUGAUACUUUUGCAUGUCUUACAGAGAUGCAAGCAAUCCUGGUAAACACAAGAUGGUUAAGUUUCAAUAAAAGGAAAUCAGAUGGGGUACAGUGUCAAGUGUGUUGUAUGUAACGACACACUGUAUUACAGCAUAACUAAGAUUUAGGUGUACAAGAAAAGUAGACUGAAAUAUAGGCCGCCAGUUUUAUUUGAACCACAAUACCCAUAAUGCAUUAUCAGUCACUUGAAAACAUAUGUACGGUACGUGAAAAUAGUAGCUCUAUAAUAUUUAAAAUUCCAAAUGAAAAUACCCCUAAUAAAAGGAGUUAGCAUGUGCCAGUAGUAAGUAAUACAUAAAUGGGUCAAUUAAAAUGGAAAUUAAGAACAAAUUGUAGAAUGGGUGUUCAAUAGACCGUAAAAUAGCCUAUUCAGUGUUAUUGAUACUCCAUCAAAAAGGGCCUAACUUUCCUGCAUAUGAAGCAAGAAUUUGUCAUGUCACUAGGUUCCCUCAUUACAAUGAACCCGUGUGAUGUCAACUGUAAAAAUAAUUCCCCAGAAUCCCCAAGUUGUUCAUACCGUUAUUUGAUAAAAGUGAGAAUUGUCAGGAAUUCAAAGUGAAUUCUACACGAAUUUCAAAUUUAAGGCUGAAUAAGCCAAACUGGAAUCAUAGUUGACUGAAACCUUUUUCCAAAUUGGCUAGUAUGAAUUUAAAUUUGAAAUGCUUUGAAUUCCUGAAAAAAUUCUCACAUUAGCGAAAAAACCUUGAGAGGCACCUUAUGUUUUAAUAAGGCUAACCACUGUGCUAUUAGAGUAACUCCUUAAGUGUGUAGUAUGUCUGUGUAAGUAUACAAUGAGACAGUACAUUUAGGCAGUGUGUUGAUCAACAUGUAAGUAUUAAGUUAAAAAAUGUACGUGUCCAAUGGCUUGAUUGAAAAGUCUUCUACGGAAAAAGCAAGCAGGCAGACCAGACAGAACCCAUUUAUAUGUACAAAAAAAAAUUGCUUGCCUAUUGGGGUGUAACCUGUUGAACAUCCUGUUC